AAUGAACGCUGGCGGCAUGCCUAACACAUGCAAGUCGAACGGGAACAGGUUAAGCUGACGAGUGGGGAACGGGCGGGUAAUGUAUCGGUAGGUGCCCAGUCGUGGGCGAUAACUACUCGAAAGAGCAGCGAAUACCGCAUACGACCUCAGGGGAAAUGCUGGGGAUCGUAAAUCCACGGUGGAUUGCGGCGGCGGUUGUCAGAUUAGGUAGUUGGUGGGGUAAAUGCUGACCAAGCCGGCGACCGGCAGCUGGUGUGAACGGGAGAACAGCCACACUGGGACUGAGACACGGCCCAGACUCCUACGGGAGGCAGCAGUGGGGAAUCUUGCGCAAUGGGCGCAAGCCUGAUCCAGCCAUGCCGCGUGAGGGAUGAAGGCCUUCGGGUUGUAAACCGCUUUUGUCAGGGAAGAAAAAAUUCUGGCUUAACCCUGGGAGUCAUGACGGUACCUGAAGAAUAAGCACCGGCUAACUACGUG
rnacentral:rRNA from 1 species